ACAAUUUUUUUGUUGAUUAUAAAAUCUUAUAAUGAACCAGUUUUUAAUUUAAAAAUUAAAGUUAAUUAUGUUAUGUGCACAAAAAUCCUAAUUGCAGCUCAUGAUUUUUUAAAAAGUAUAUAUUCAAGCAAAUUCCCAUGGUGAAUCUCACCUUAACUAAACCGUAUAACAAUAAGAUUAAA
rnacentral:snRNA from 1 species